CCUACGGGUGGCAGCAGUGAGGAAUAUUGGUCAAUGGGCGCGAGCCUGAACCAGCCAAGUAGCGUGAAGGAUGACGGCCCUACGGGUUGUAAACUUCUUUUAUAAAGGAAUAAAGUGAGGCACGUGUGCCUUGUUGUAGGUACUUUAUGAAUAAGGAACGGCUAACUCCGUGCCAGCAGCCGCGGUAAUACGGAGGAUCCGAGCGUUAUCCGGAGUUAGUGGGUUUAAAGGGAGCGUAGAUGGGUUGUUAAGUCAGUUGUGUAAGUUUGCGGCUCAACCGUAAAAUUGCAAUUGAUACUGGCUGCCUUGCUUACCGUUGAGGUAGGCGGAAUUCGUGGUGUAGCGG
rnacentral:rRNA from 1 species